rnacentral:rRNA from 1 species
UACGUAGGGUGCGAGCGUUGUCCGGAAUUACUGGGCGUAAAGCGCACGUAGGCGGCUUUGCGAGUCAGAGGUGAAAGCCCGGGGCUCAACCCCGGAAUUGCCUUUGAGACUGCAUCGCUAGAAUUGUGGAGAGGUAAGUGGAAUUCCGAGUGUAGAGGUGAAAUUCGUAGAUAUUCGGAAGAACACCAGUGGCGAAGGCGACUUACUGGACACAUAUUGACGCUGAGGUGCGAAAGCGUGGGGAGCAAACAGG